rnacentral:rRNA from 1 species
CUCGCAGGGUAAAACUCAAAGGAAUUGACGGGGGCUCACACAAGCGGUGGGGCAUGUGGUUUAAUUCGAAGCAACGCGAAGAACCUUACCUGGCCUUGACAUCUAUGGAUUAGCUCUAUGAAAGUAGAGUGACAGCUCUUCGGAGUCGGAACAUGGACAGGUGUUGCAUGGCUGUCGUCAGCUCGUGUCGUGAGACGUUGGGUUAAGUCCCGUAACGAGCGCAACCCUUAUUGUUAGUUGCCAGCGCGUAAUGGCGGGGACUCUAGCGAGACUGCCGGUGUCAAACCGGAGGAAGGUGGGGACGACGUCAAGUCAUCAUGGCCCUUAUGGCCAGGGCGACACACGUGCUACAAUGGCCUGUACAGAGGGUUCCGAGACCGCGAGGUGGAGGCAAUCCCAGAAAGCAGGCCCCAGUUCGGAUUGCAGGCUGCAAUUCGCCUGCAUGAAGCCGGAAUCGCUAGUAAUCGCGUAUCAGCCACGACGCGGUGAAUAUGUUCCUGAGCCUUGUACACACUGCCCGUCAAGCCACGAAAGCGGGGAGCGCUCGAAGUCGCUCUGUCUAACCUUCGGGAGGACGGCGCC